rnacentral:rRNA from 1 species
AUAAUGACUCUCGGCAACGGAUAUCUCGGCUCUCGCAUCGAUGAAGAACGUAGCGAAAUGCGAUACUUGGUGUGAAUUGCAGAAUCACGUGAACCAUCGAGUCUUUGAACGCAAGUUGCGCCCGAAGCCAUUAGGCCGAGGGCACGCCUGCCUGGGCGUCUCACA